rnacentral:rRNA from 1 species
UACGGAGGGUGCAAGCGUUAUCCGGAUUCACUGGGUUUAAAGGGUGCGUAGGUGGGCAGGUAAGUCAGUGGUGAAAUCUCCGGGCUUAACUCGGAAACUGCCAUUGAUACUAUCUUUCUUGAAUACCGUGGAGGUCAGCGGAAUAUGUCAUGUAGCGGUGAAAUGCUUAGAUAUGACAUAGAACACCAAUUGCGAAGGCAGCUCGCUACACAUAUAUUGACUCUGAGGCACGAAAGCGUGGGGAUCAAACAGG